rfam:Cucumis sativus cultivar 9930 chromosome 3, whole genome shotgun sequence.
UGAAGUGAUGAACAUGCACUGGGCUCUGAGUAGAUGUAAUUUCUGCUUAAUUUGAUGGAUAAUGCGGCCUAGAAAACCAUGUCUGAUCC